GCAUUUUCCUUUAAUGCGGGCUGGAAAGAGGUGGCGUAGUUUUUCUGCCCUGAAAAGCAAAUACCAUUUGUUCACUAGAACAGACGCAGGCAUCCUGUCGCCUCUCCCGUGUGCUGCCUUCCUUCCCUCGCUGGGUACUUCCGGGUGGUCACUCCUCAGCAUGGAGGGGCGGGAGGGGCCGCACAGGGCCUUGUGCCCCAGUCACAGGGAGGGCCCACGGAGAGGUGUGCAAGGGAACAUGUCCUCAAAUGCAAAAGCAGCCGUGGGCUUGCUAGGGCUUGGGUUUGAAGUAUCCCCUGAAACUUCCUGUGGGAGGACUUGGUUGGCUGUUGAUGGUCUUCGCGGAAGUGACAAGGUCACGAGGGCUCCAACUUCCCCAAGUGGAUGGAUCCUUUGAGGAGACCGCAGCUUGAGGGCGCAAUGGGAGCUGAUGGGAACAGGCUGUGCCCAGUGGAAGGAAGUAGGUCGCGAGGAGGUGACCUUGGGGGCUUUACCUAGUCCCAGCCCCUCCUCUCUGGCUCCUUCCUCCGCGUGUUUUCUUCCCAGCUGCUAUGAGGGUGCACAGAGUUUAAGUGACUUAGUAGCUGCCGUAGGUUCUCAAGCAGGAAAUCCAGGAAAUGGUGUUGUGGGCAGCACGUUCUACCGUGUCCUGGGCGCUGGAGCUCGGAGACUCCGGGGCAGGAGCUGGGUCAGAGCAUCAAAGGCAAAAUACACGGAGAAAAUCCUUCCAAGAAGUUAUCACAAUGACAAAGAACAAAACACACUGCGAUAUUUAGAUCGAGCCUGCUUUAAUCAAGACACUACGAUGGUCUCAUGA
rnacentral:lncRNA from 1 species